GUGCUCACUUUGGCAGCACGUAGACUAAAAUUGGAAUUAUACAGAGAAGAUUAAUAUGGCCCCUGAGCAAGGAUGAUGCGCAAAUUUGGAAGCAUUCAGUGUUAAA